GCGCACAUUUACGCGCUGAAUUUAACAUUGGAGUCUAUGGGUUGCGCGCCGAAUGCAGUUUCAGCGCCUAAAGCACGAUGAAGCGUUGUCAGCUGAUUAUUCAUCGGCUGGUCGGCGCUGAAUUACUCGCGUAUUCGACGCUCACGAGUUGAAAUAUUCCAACUUUUCAGCGCGUCCUUGACGCGCAUACGCCGCGGCGUUUUUAUCAUCAAUCGGGUGUUUUGUUGAUAUUUAAAACAUUUGAAAAGCAUUUUUGAGAUGAGGUUAGUGUUGCUAAUAUUUUGAGUGUGGCAGUGUGUGUGUUCUGUGUUUCAUCAUCUUCCUACAUCUCCAGAAUAGCAUUAAAUGAGCUGGUAAGCUCUACAAGUGACACCACCUUAGUUGAAGCCGUGAGACGUCAUGACGUGCUUUGGCGUCCUCAGGACAGCAACUACUUUAACAGAAAUAAGAAGAAGCUAGCAUGGGAGGAGGUGGCAAAGACCACUGGGAGAUCAGUUCAGGAUGCAAAAUCGAAAUGGAAAAGUCUGCGUGACUACCACCUACGCAAACGCAGGCAAUUGCCAAGUGGCUCUGGCUGCCCGCCACCAGAGAACUCCUCCUGGCAAAAGGAAAUGUCAUUUUUGGAUGAUGCCAUCAAGCCUAAACCCUUUGUGUGUCUGAUGAGGACAGCAGCGAGACUCAACUACCAGACGACAGUGCUGCAGCGAGCUGUGCCUCAGGAGUCCUCCCAGCUGCGACGCUCCUCGGAACGCCUCGGGUGUCCGCGGUGCCACCAGCAGCGAGCUGUGUCGCCGG